rnacentral:rRNA from 1 species
AUGGAAGCCUUUGAAAACCGACUCCAUAACCACCAGUGUGGUGGUUUGAGUUUAGGCGCAGUGAUAUGCAUAUCAGUUGACGUUGCUUGUGCUCUUGAAUACCUACAUAAUCAGUGCAUCCCACCAGUUGUUCACUGCGAUCUGAAACCAAGCAACAUACUUUUUGACAAUGACGAUACAGCACGUCUCUGCGACUUUGGUCUGGCAAAGCUAAUUCAUGGUUGUUCAUCUGGAGGGCAGAGCGGCACAACAAGCAUAGUUGGACCAAGGGGAUCUAUUGGGUACAUACCUCCUGAGUAUGGAAUGGGCGGUGAAAUCUCCACCGAGGGAGACAUUUGCAGCUAUGGCAUUGUUCUUUUGGAAAUGCUAACACGGAAACGGCCUACUAAUGAAGAGUUCAGUGAUGGCUUGACGCUCCGCAAGUAUGUAGAAGCAUCACUUUCACGAACCCAAGACAUUCUUCAUCCCAGCCUUACUUCGGUGAGGGGAGAUCAGUUUGCUGAUCAAAUCCCAAACUUGCAAGAAUGCAACACAUUUGCGCUGAAGGAUAUGUGUGCUCUUCGUCUCCUUAAACUUGGCUUAUUAUGCUCCGCGGAAUCACCGAAGGAUCGCCCAGCGAUGCACGAUGUCUACAGUGAAGUAACUGAAGUAAAAGAGGUGUUUUUCUGCAUGGAUAACCGAAGCAAUGACCUUACAUUAUUAAGGAAAAAAGGCGGUCGAUGA